GUGUGUGGACCUGUGACUCUACAUGAAUGACUCAAGUGAAGAAACACGAGUGAAACCACUAUUUCAAAGGAAAAAGAAGAGGAAGAGGGGACAUCUUGAACAUUCGCAGUGGAACUUGAGUGCGCAUCUGCGCAAAGUCUCUCCAAAGUCACUUGGUAACUUGCGCGCACCACUGCAGCUCCAUUCUCAAGCAGUUUUGGGGGUCACGGCGAGGAGAGACUGUCGUCCGGCAGAAUGGCGUCAGACGUGGGCCGCAGCACUUGAGCAGGUGCAGAGCAGAUUUUGCAUGGAAAGGGUGAAAGUGUGCAGCUGCAGCAGUGAUCCUGAAGCUCAGACGUCACGAAGCCAUGACUUUGUUGCUGUGAGAAACACGCAUUGCCUGUACUGA
ensembl:lncRNA